UACGAAGGGGGCGAGCGUUGUUCGGAAUUACUGGGCGUAAAGGGCGCGUAGGCGGUCCUUCAAGUCAGGCGUGAAAGCCCCGGGCUCAACCUGGGAACCGCGCUUGAGACUGGCGGACUCGAGUUCGGGAGAGGAUGGUGGAAUUCCCAGUGUAGAGGUGAAAUUCGUAGAUAUUGGGAAGAACACCGAUGGCGAAGGCAGCCAUCUGGACCGACACUGACGCUGAGGCGCGAAAAGCGUGGGGAGCAAACAGG
rnacentral:rRNA from 1 species